rnacentral:rRNA from 1 species
ACUCCUACGGGAGGCAGCAGUGGGGAAUAUUGCACAAUGGGCGGAAGCCUGAUGCAGCGACGCCGCGUGAGGGAUGACGGCCUUCGGGUUGUAAACCUCUUUCAGCAGGGACGAAGCGUAAGUGACGGUACCUGCAGAAGAAGCACCGGCCAACUACGUGCCAGCAGCCGCGGUAAGACGUAGGGUGCGAGCGUUGUCCGGAUUUAUUGGGCGUAAAGAGCUCGUAGGCGGCUUGUCGCGUCGACUGUGAAAACCCGCAGCUCAACUGCGGGCCUGCAGUCGAUACGGGCAGGCUAGAGUUCGGUAGGGGAGACUGGAAUUCCUGGUGUAGCGGUGAAAUGCGCAGAUAUCAGGAGGAACACCGGUGGCGAAGGCGGGUCUCUGGGCCGAAACUGACGCUGAGGAGCGAAAGCGUGGGGAGCGAACAGGAUUAGAUACCCUGGUAGUCCACGCUGUAAACGUUGGGCGCUAGGUGUGGGGGGCCUCUCCGGUUCCCUGUGCCGCAGCUAACGCAUUAAGCGCCCCGCCUGGGGAGUACGGCCGCAAGGCUAAAACUCAAAGGAAUUGACGG